rnacentral:lncRNA from 1 species
GUAAGUAAAUAUAGGUUAUCUCUAUAUAUGUAUGUAUUACAUAUAAUACAUCAACUAUAAUAUGCUAUAAUAGAAGUAUGUGGAUUCAGCUAAAUUUGUAUGACCUCUUGAGAGAUUUUCUGAGAUAGUCCUACAAUAUUUUUUAUUGUACAUGGGUUAAAUGCCAAGGACUGUGACAGGUGUCUUAGAUAAUUUAUUCAUUUAUGCUUAAAACCUGAGACAGUAUUAUUUCCUACUUUCUGAAAAGUGAAACUCAGAGAAAUUAACUUGACCAAGUACAUGUAGCUAGCUAAGUGUUAGAGUUGGAUGAAAACCCAAUUCUGUUAGGUAUUGUUAGCUCUCAGUUUGUAUUUUAUCUCUUUUCUCCAUUGUAGUGUUGGAUCAGUAAGCCCAUUUUUCCCUUUUAAAAUAUUUGGGAUACAUUAUUAAAUAUGAACAACUGAACAUAUCAAAUAUGAAAAAUCUAAGUUGAUUUGAUAUAUAGAGGGCUGCAUAGGAUGCCGUGCGAGUGUAAAGAAGGAGCAGUACAACUUAGUGAUUAUCAUGCCAGUGGUUAUGCCAAUUAGCGUAAUGUUGGAUAAGCAUGUUCAAAUUCUUGUAGACUCCGCUUUUACAGCUCUAGGCUUUUAUAGCUCUAAUUGAGGAUAAUAGCUCCUAACUUACGGAGUUGUUCUGAUGGUUUAAUUGAACCUGUGACUAUAUGGAAGAUCCUUAGCAUAGUGCCUGACAUAUAAUAAAUUAUCCUUGAGAACAUGUGUCUUGGGCUGAGUCUCUAGAAGGACCAAAACUUAGUCCUAGGGAAGAAGUGAGGGUAGGGUAAUCUAAGCAGAAAGUGGUUUGUGCAGAAGAGGGAAAGCAUGAUACCUGUGUUUGUUUGUUUGUUUUCGUUAAGUACUUUAGGAGACUGUAGCCAGAUGAAGAUAAUGAAAUACGAAGGGUUCUGAAUGGCGAGCUAAGGGUGAAAAACUUUGUCCUGACUUGUGGGGAGUUAUAAACAGAUUGUUAUGAGGGGAAACAACAUUUAAUUUGUUUAAAAAGUGAAGGCCUGAGGGACAAGUUAAAUGAUAUCAAGAAGCAAUAGACAUGUCAGGUGCGGUGGCUAAUGCCUGUAAUCCCAGCACUUUGGGAGGCCAAGGUGGGCCGAUCACUUGGAGUCCAGAGUUCAAGACCAGCCUGGACAACAUGGCGAAACCCUGUCUCCACUAAAGUUACAAACCUUAGCCGGGUGUGGUGGCGCACGCCUGUAGGCCCAGCUACUCAAGAGGCUGAGGCAGGAGAAUCACUUGAACCCGGGAGGUGGAGGCUGCAGUGAGCCAAGAUUGUGCCACUGCACUCAAGCCUGGGCCACAGAACAAGGCUCCACACACACACACAAAGCAAUAGGCAAAUCUUGAAUUUGGGGUAGUCUAGGACAAAGGUGGAGGCAGGGAACAUUAUUCUAGAUUGAAAAAGAUUUAAAAGAACUAAUAAGCAAAUGCAAUACAUGGCUCUUGUUUGGAUCCAGAUUCUAAUACAUCUAACAGAAAGCUCCUUUGGUCGAGAAGAAUUAGCUACAACUUACAUGAUAUUCUUAUAAGAAAAAGAGGUUGUUAUACUUCCCAUUUUACAGGUCAAAGAAAUGCGAUUCAAAAAAAGACACAUCGAUUUUCUAAAGAUACACAGUCAAUAGCUGAGCCAGGAUUCAAACCUGGUGUCCUCUCAAUAAUGUUAGUGCUUACAUUGUGAAAUACUGCCUCCUGUAGCAUGUUGCUGUGAUAGCUUUUGCUUGUGCAGUCCUAGGACACUGAAUUAAAACUUUAAGUUUGGGAAUAAUGGAUAAAUGGUGACUUUCUAGGGCUACUGCAUAUUUUCCUAUUCUGCUAGUCUAAAGAGAAUGUAUAGUAAAAGAACUUGCUAGGUCACCAAGACAGAGCCAGUUUCACAUGUCAAAACCAUGCACAUACUAUUACUGUCACUGUCGUUGGGUUAUGAGGAAAGUGAGAGGAAGAAGAAGAGUUAAGAAAGUGUCUAGGGAAAGGAGGCAGUAUUUCACAAUGUAAG